UUAAAGUUUGAUUCUUGCUUAGAAGUUAAUUUUGCUCGAAUUAUACAUGUAAAUUUUUGUGGGACGUAAAUUUAUUCUUAAGGAUUAAAAGAUUUUAAUAAGGCGCAGUUUUUAAUUUUAAAAAUUAAGUAGUUUUAGAUUUAGGUAGAUGCAUUAAAUUCGACUAAAUCUUGUGCCAGCAGUCGCGGUUAUACAUUUGAAUUAAAUUAAUUAAUAUUGAAUGUAGAAUAUAAUUUAAAACUCAUAUAAAAACUCAUUAAUUAUAAAAGUUAGGUGAAAUUUAAGAAUAAUUAGUAUGGUUUAAGUUAAUUUUUAUUUUAAAGCCAGUUAUUUAAACUAGGAUUAGAUACCCUAUUAUUUUGGCUAUAAAUAUUUAUUCAUAAUAUUAAUAGAUAUGUUCUUUAAACUAAAAGAAUUUGGCGGUAAUUUAAUCUUUUCAGAGGAACCUGUUCUGUAAUUGAUAAACCACGUUUAAUUUUUCUUUUAUUAUGCUUGUAUACCUCUAUUAUUGAAUGUUUUAUUAGAAUAUUUUCGAGUAUUUUUUGUGAAAGAAAUGUUAGGUCAAGGUGCAGCAAUAUAAAAGUAGAAAUGGGUUACAAUUUUAUUAAAAUUGGAUUGUUUAAGUUGAAAAAAUCAAACAUGAAAUUGGAUUUGAAUGUAAAAUAUAUUAUUUUAUAUUUUUGAUUUAUGCUCUAAUUUAUGCACAUAUCGCCCGUCGCUCUCAUUAUCUGAGAUAAGUCGUAACAAAGUAGGCCUACCGGAAGGUAGGCCUAGAAAGAU
rnacentral:ncRNA from 1 species